CCGACUGCUAUCGGAUGAUACUAAGCCAUGCGAGUCUUUGUAGUAAUACAAGGCAGACGGCUCAGUAACACGUAGUCAACCUACCCUAUGGACAAGAAUAAUCUCGGGAAACUGGGCAUAAUUCUUGAUAGAUCAUAAUGCCUGGAAUGGUUUAUGGUUAAAAUGAUUCGUCGCCAUAGGAUGGGACUGCGGCCUAUCAGCUUGUUGGUGAGGUAAUGGCCCACCAAGGCGAUUACAGGUACGGGCUCUGAGAGGAGAAGCCCGGAGAUGGGUACUGAGACACGGACCCAGGCCCUAUGGGGCGCAGCAGGCGAGAAAACUUUGCAAUGUGCGAAAGCACGACAAGGUUAAUCCGAGUGAUUUCUGCUAAAGAAAUCUUUUGCCAGUCAUAAAACCACUGGUGAAUAAGGGGUGGGCAAGUUCUGGUGUCAGCCGCCGCGGUAAAACCAGCACCUCAAGUGGUCAGGAUGAUUAUUGGGCCUAAAGCAUCCGUAGCCGGCUUUGUUAGUUUUCGGUUAAAUCCAUGUGCUCAACGCAUGGGCUGCCGAAAAUACUGCAUGGCUAGGGAGUGGGAGAGGUAGACGGUACUCAGUAGGAAGGGGUAAAAUCCUUUGAUCUAUUGAUGACCACCUGUGGCGAAGGCGGUCUACCAGAACACGUUCGACGGUGAGGGAUGAAAGCUGGGGGAGCAAACCGGAUUAGAUACCCGGGUAGUCCCAGCUGUAAACGAUGCAGACUCGAUGAUGCAUUGGCAUAAUAGCCAUUGCAGUGUCGCAGGGAAGCCGUUAAGUCUGCCGCCUGGGAAGUACGUACGCAAGUAUGAAACUUAAAGGAAUUGGCGGGGGAGCACCACAAGGGGUGAAGCCUGCGGUUCAAU
rnacentral:rRNA from 1 species